rnacentral:rRNA from 1 species
UACGUAGGGCGCAAGCGUUGUCCGGAAUUAUUGGGCGUAAAGAGCUCGUAGGCGGUUUGUCGCGUCUGCUGUGAAAACCUAAGGCUCAACCUUGGGCUUGCAGUGGAUACGGGCAGACUAGAGGUAUGCAGGGGAGAACGGAAUUCCUGGUGUAGCGGUGAAAUGCGCAGAUAUCAGGAGGAACACCGGUGGCGAAGGCGGGUCUCUGGGCAAUAACUGACGCUGAGGAGCGAAAGCGU